rnacentral:rRNA from 1 species
GAUGAACGCUGGCGGCGUGCCUAAUACAUGCAAGUCGAGCGAACAGACGAGGAGCUUGCUCCUCUGACGUUAGCGGCGGACGGGUGGGUAACACGUGGAUAACCUACCUAUAAGACUGGGAUAACUUCGGGAAACCGGAGCUAAUACCGGAUAAUAUAUUGAACCGCAUGGUUCAAUAGUGAAAGACGGUUUUGCUGUCACUUAUAGAUGGAUCCGCGCCGCAUUAGCUAGUUGGUAAGGUCACGGCUUACCAAGGCAACGAUGCGUAGCCGACCUGAGAGGGUGAUCGGCCACACUGGAACGGAGACACGGUCCAGACUCCUACGGGAGGCAGCAGUAGGGAAUCUUCCGCAAUGGGCGAAAGCUUUACGGAGCAACGCCGCGUGAGUGAUGAAGGUCUUCGGAUCGUAAAACUCUGUUAUUAGGGAAGAACAAAUGUGUAAGUAACUAUGCACGUCUUGACGGUACCUAAUCAGAAAGCCACGGCUAACUACGUG